rnacentral:lncRNA from 1 species
AUUUUGAAACUAUGCUUCUCCAAUCAUCCCAUAAAAGGGCGAUAAACCGUUGCUGUGCUCACUUGGAGGAGCUGUUUAAUUUUUCCCAGAUUCCCAAAGGGGAAUGCUCCGUCACUAAACACACGGGCCUCUGAGCAACAGGAAAGGACUAAGCUCGUCUUUAUUCAAAGGCUCCUAUUAUAGUAAUAAGAAUGAGAAAUGGCUCAUGCCUGUAAUCGCAGCAAUUUGGGAGGCUGAGGCAGGCGGAUCACCUGAAGUCACGAGUUCGAGACCAGCCUGGCCGUCAAGGUGAAAUAUUGGCUGUCUCCCGUCUCUACUAAAAGUACAAAAAAUUAGCCAGGCAUGGUGGGGCAUGCCUGUAGUCCCAGCUACUCAGGAGGCUGAGGCAGGAGAAUGCUUGAGCCCAGGAGGUGGAGGAUACAGUGAGCCAAGAUCGGGCCACUGCACUCCAGCCUGGGCCACAGAGCAAGACUCCAUCUCAAAAAAAAAAAAAAAAAAAAAAAAAAAAGAAUGAGAAAUGCCAAGACAGGAUUUUCUAAAAAUUGUGGUAUAUUUUAAAUGUUUUACUUUAACCUUUACAUAUAUGUGGUGAAUACCUUCCACACAUUCUAGGGUGUAUUUCUGCAAUUACUGGGUAUUUUCUGCAUCUCUCCCCAGUGGACCAUUUCCAGCUGAAGAAACACGCACAUCUGCCCUCUGACUCUCACAUACACUCGUGCACCAGACAGGCGAGACGUCAGUAUCUCCCAAUUUCUUGUGGUCCCUCCAGCCUGUAGAGCUCCCAACAACCUGUAGGUUUCCAAACAAAAACCCAACAACCCCAUCCACAGGGACAAGACUGAAUCCAAAGCUAGAUGAUUCAUCCAAAAUGGGACUUUUUUUUUUUUGAGACAGUCUCACUCUGUCGCCCAGGCUAGAGUGCAGAGGCACAGUAUCAGCUCACUGCAACCCCCGCCUCCUGGGUUUAAGUGAUCCUCCCACCUCAGCCUCCUGAGUAGCUGAGACUACAGCCAUGCACCAAUAGGCCCAACUAAUUUUUAUAUUUUUAGUAGAGACGGGGUUUCACCAUGUUGGCCAGGCUGGUCUCAAACUCCCGACCUCUAGUGAUCCACCCACCUCGCCUCCCAAAGAGCCAGGAUUACAGGCAUGAGCCACCAUGCCCGGCCUUAAAAUGUGAACAUUUUUAAAAGAUAUUUUGGAUUGUUGUUUUUAACAAAUUUACCUGAAGUGCUGCUUCUGUUCCAGCAAAAAGCCAAGGAGAACCUCCGGCCCUCAGAUCCCUGGGUUCUGCAAAGAGUCGCCAUUUCUCAGAAACUAGAUUUUGACUCUAACUGCUUUGGAUUGGAGAAGCUGACCAGCGAGCGUGUAAAAUUAAUCUUGCAUAAGUGAUGAGCUUAUAAAGAGAGCCCCAGGGGAAUGAGGCUAGCACACUGCAAAGCAUCACUUACCUAUUGCUACCUGGCCGAGUGUUGCAGGAGAAGAGAUUCUGGGGAAGGGAGGCUUCAAAGCUCCCGGAUGUCCUAUCGUUUCAAACCAUCAGAUUGGCAGAAAGAGGAAGUCUCUGCUAGUUCUUCUUGAGAAAACGGCCAACACCUUCAUGAGCAGGGAGCAAGUCACAUGGGAAUUCUACCCCCCUUGAUGAUUUCUGAAAGUUCAGUUUGGCAUUAUCUUGAUUUGGAGGUGAGGAAAGAAGAGCAGAUGGAAUGCAGGAAAUGUCCAUGAGGAUGAU